AAAUAAUAUAGAAUUCAAAAAUAUAUUAAAACAAAAAUCUCAAUAAAAUAUUGAAAUAGAAAUUUUAAUUAAAUCCUAAUUGAAUCCUAAUCAAAUCUUAAAUAAAUUCUACUCAAAUCCUAAUAAAAUCUUAAUCAAAUCUUAAACAAAUCCUAACCAAAUUUUUAUCAAAUCCUAAAUAAAUCCAAGUCAAACCUUAAACAAACCUUAACCAAAUCCUAGUCAAACCCUUAACAAAUCUUAAACAAAUUCUAAUCAAAUCUUAAAUAAACUCUAAUCAAAUUCUAAACAAAUUCUAAUCAAAAUCUAAUCAAAUCUUAAUCUAAUCCUAAAGAAACCUUAAUCAAAUCAUAUUCAAAUAUUCAAAAAAUCCUAAUCAAAUCUUAAUCAAAUCCUAAACAAAACUUAACCAAAUCUUAAUCAAAUCCUAAUCAAAUCCUAAACAAAUCUAAACAAACCUUAACUGAACUCUAAUCAAAUCCUAAAAAUAUCAUAACCAAAUCCUAAAUAAA
rnacentral:lncRNA from 1 species